UUGAAAAUAUUUGAAUUUUUAGCUGGAAAUUUCAGAAAAAAAAAUUAUUUUUUUUGGAAUACCCAGUUUUGGAAUGGUAGAAAAAUGUUGAAUUUUCUGGAAAAAAAUUCAAAUUUUCAUUAAAAAUUAUUUGAAAAAUUUCCAAAAAAU
ensembl:ncRNA Y39G8C.7 ncRNA